GUGAGCGGAGCUAAUCCCUUAAAGCCAUUCUCAUUCGGAUUGUAGGCUGAAACUCGCCUACAUGAAGCUGGAGUUACUAGUAAUCGCAGAUCAGAAUGCUGCGGUGAAUGCGUUCCCGGGUCUUGUACACACCGCCCGUCACACCACGGAAGUUGGGGGCGCCCGAAGCCACUUAGCUAACCCUUUUGGGAAGCGAGUGUCGAAGGUGAAAUCAAUAACUGGGGUGAAGUCGUAACAAGGUAAC
rnacentral:rRNA from 1 species